GUCAGUGAGGAUUUAUCCAUGUUUUGAGAUGUAGUUUGCCUUGAGACCCUGUUUUCAGGGAGAACCUACUUGGGGUUACUGCAUUGAUAUUGAAAUUAUUGGAUCUCUCUGAGAC